rnacentral:rRNA from 1 species
GAGUUUGAUGAGAAUAACGGCUCGCAAGUGGAGCAAAGUGGCACUUGUGAUGUAGGUGAUGAAAUUCCUCCUCAAGACAUAAGAAGAAUGGGUGUUGGUUUCAUUCUACCCAUUGAGGAACCCCUUGUGGCCGAAGGAGAAGGACAAUGCUCCACUCAAGUGGAGCCAUCACCAACCCAAGGCCCACACGCUUCCGAAGAACAAAGUGAAGGCCCUCAACCUCAUGGACAAGACCAAGGGCAAGAUCAUACUCAAGACGGUGUUGACACACCAAGUGAUGCCCAAGGUCAAGUUCUCUCCCCCGAGCAAGUUGAAGAUCAAGAACAAGUUCAUGACGGCGCUCAAGAUGAUCAAGUAACCGCUCCUCAACUGACCACCGAGGAGGAAUUAGAGCGUCGUGCCGCCAAGGUUGCUUCCAAGCUCUCCACCAAGGAUCAUCUCAUGACGAAUGUGCUUGGAAGCUUAAGAAAGGGGGUAAGCACUCAUAGACAAUUAGCAAAUUAUUGUGAGCAUCACGCGUUUGUCUCUUGUGUGGAACCCCACAAGGUCUAUGAGGUGCUAGAAGAUCUGGAUUGGCUCAAUGCCAUGCACGAAAAACUCAACAACUUCGAGCGCAACAAAGUGUGGAGAUUGGUGCCAAGGCCAACG